rnacentral:rRNA from 1 species
GCUAACUUCGUGCCAGCAGCCGCGGUAAUACGAAGGGGGCUAGCGUUGCUCGGAAUUACUGGGCGUAAAGGGCGCGUAGGCGGCCGAUCAAGUCAGGCGUGAAAUUCCUGGGCUCAACCUGGGGGCUGCGCUUGAGACUGAUUGGCUAGAGGCCGAGAGAGGGUGGUGGAAUUCCCAGUGUAGAGGUGAAAUUCGUAGAUAUUGGGAAGAACACCGGUGGCGAAGGCGGCCACCUGGCUCGGUACUGACGCUGAGGCGCGACAGCGUGGGGAGCAAACAGGAUUAGAUACCCUAGUAGUC